UGCUUAAUCGUUCAGUGAUUCA
rnacentral:miRNA from 1 species